GACGAACGCUGGCGGCGUGCUUAACACAUGCAAGUCGAACGGAAAGGCCUGCUUUCCCUUGUGGAUUGCGGGUACUCGAGUGGCGAACGGGUGAGUAACACGUGAGUGAUCUGCCCCCAACUUGGGUAUAAGCCUGGGAAACUGGGUCUAAUUCCCGAUAGGACUGCAGGGUGGUGCCUGUGGUGGAAAACGAUUUUCUAGUGGUUGGGGAUGAGCUCGCGGCCUAUCAGCUUGUUGGUGGGGUAAUGGCCUACCAAGGCGGCGACGGGUAGCCGGCCUGGGAGGGUGGACGGCGACAUUGAGACUGGGAUACGGCCCAGACUCCUGCGGGAGGCAGCGGUGGGGAAGAUUGCACAAUGGGCGGGAGCCUGAUGCAGCGACGCCGCGAGGGGGAUGACGGCCUUCGGGUUGUAAACUCCUUUCGACCGCGAGGAAGCCACCUGGUUGGAAGGGUGGUGACGGUAGUGGUAGAAGAAGCACCGGCUAACUACGUG
rnacentral:rRNA from 1 species